GCAUAUCAAUAAGCGGAGGAAAAGAAACCAACAGGGAUUGCCCCAGUAACGGCGAGUGAAGCGGCAACAGCUCAAAUUUGAAAUCUGGCCCCUAGGGUCCGAGUUGUAAUUUGUAGAGGAUGCUUUUGGUGAGGUGCCGCCCGAGUUCCCUGGAACGGGACGCCGCAGAGGGUGAGAGCCCCGUCUGGCUGGCCACCGAGCCUCUGUAAAGCUCCUUCGACGAGUCGAGUAGUUUGGGAAUGCUGCUCAAAAUGGGAGGUAUAUGUCUUCUAAAGCUAAAUAUUGGCCAGAGACCGAUAGCGCACAAGUAGAGUGAUCGAAAGAUGAAAAGCACCUUGAAAAGAGGGUUAAACAGUACGUGAAAUUGUUGAAAGGGAAGCGCUUGUGACCAGACUUGGGCGCGGCGGAUCAUCCGGGGUUCUCCCCGGUGCACUUCGCCGCGUUCAGGCCAGCAUCAGUUCGKCGCGGGGGAAAAAGGCUUCGGGAACGUGGCUCCUCCGGGAGUGUUAUAGCCCGUUGCAUAAUACCCUGCGSUGGACUGAGGACCGCGCAUCUGCAAGGAUGCUGGCGUAAUGGUCACCAGCGACCCGUCUUGAAACACGGACCAAGGAGUCGUCUUCGUAUGCGAGUGUUCGGGUGUCAAACCCCUACGCGUAAUGAAAGUGAACGCAGGUGAGAGCUUCGGCGCAUCAUCGACCGAUCCUGAUGUUCUCGGAUGGAUUUGAGUAAGAGCAUACGGGGCCGGACCCGAAAGAAGGUGAACUAUGCCUGUAUAGGGUGAAGCCAGAGGAAACUCUGGUGGAGGCUCGCAGCGGUUCUGACGUGCAAAUCGAUCGUCAAAUAUGGGCAUGGGGGCGAAAGACUAAUCGAACCUUCUAGUAGCUGGUUUCCGCCGA
rnacentral:rRNA from 1 species